rnacentral:rRNA from 1 species
GACGAACGCUGGCGGCGUGCUUAACACAUGCAAGUCGAACGGAAAGGCCCUGCUUUCGUGGGGUGCUCGAGUGGCGAACGGGUGAGUAACACGUGAGUAACCUGCCCUUGACUUUGGGAUAACUUCAGGAAACUGGGGCUAAUACCGGAUAGGAGCUCCUGCUGCAGGGUGAGGGUGGGAACGUUUCGGCGGCUGGGGAUGGACGCGCGGCUUAUCAGCUUGUUGGUGGGGUAGUGGCUUACCAAGCCAUUGACGGGUAGCCGGCCUGGGAGGGUGACCGGCCACAUUGGGACUGAGGUACGGCCCAGACUCCUACGGGAGGCAGCAGUGGGGAGUAUUGCACAGUGGGCGGGAGCCUGAUGCAGCAGCGCCGCGUGCGGGAUGACGGCCUUCGGGUUGUAAACCGCUUUCGCCUGUGACGAAGCGUGAGUGACGGUAAUGGGUAAAGAAGCACCGGCUAACUACGUG